rnacentral:rRNA from 1 species
AACGUAGGACGCAAGCGUUAUCCGGAAUUACUGGGCGUAAAGGGCGUGCAGGCGGUUUCCUAAGUCAGGCGUGAAAGCCACGGGCUAAACCUGGGGAGGACGUUUGAUACUGGGGGACUAGAGUGUGGUAGAGGGGUGUAGAAUUCCGGGUGUAGUGGUGAAAUGCGUAGAUAUCCGGAGGAAUACCAGUGGCGAAGGCGGCACCCUGGGCCAUAACUGACGCUAAGACGCGAAAGCAUGGGUAGCGAAC